AAACUCGAGUCUUCAAGGAAAC
rnacentral:miRNA from 1 species